rnacentral:piRNA from 1 species
UCGUUGGUUUGGGCCUCUCUGAA